UCAAACACGAAGAACAGGCGAAGUAAUCUGUAGCGUUUUAAAGAGAGGUUGCGGUUGGUGGAAGCAAUCAAACAAGCAGAUGAAAUGCACCUGGGAGUGGUUUUAGCCCAAACUAAAAACGGCAAAAUAGACCGUUAUCUAUUUAAGGCAGAAAAUUUCUGUGAAUAAAAGUGGAACCACGCCAAACAAGCGUCUUUUAA
rnacentral:ncRNA from 1 species